rnacentral:tmRNA from 1 species
GGGGCUGAUUCUUCUGGAUUCGACGGGAUUUGCGAAACCCAAGGUGCAUGCCGAGGGGCGGUUUGCCUCGUAAAAAGCCGCAAAAAAUAGUCGCAAACGACGAUAAAUACGCACUGGCAGCUUAAUAACCUGCGCAAAGCCCUCUCUCUCCCUAGCCUCCUCUCUUAGGAUGGGAAUAAAGAGAGGUAAAACCUAAAAGAGAUCGCGUUGAUGCCUAGCCUGGGGUUAAAGCGUUAAACUUAAUCAGGCUAGUCUGUUAGUAGUGUGUCUGUCCACAGCUAGCUGGCGAAUGUAAAGACUAGACUAAGCAUGUAGUACCGAGGAUGUAGAAAUUUUGGACGCGGGUUCAACUCCCGCCAGCUCCACCA